GUGAGGAAUAUUGGUCAAUGGGCGGGAGCCUGAACCAGCCAAGUCGCGUGAAGGAAGAAGGAUCUAUGGUUCGUACACUUCUUUUGCAGGGGAAUAAAGUGCAGGAUGUGUCCUGUUUUGUAUGUACCCUGAGAAUAAGGAUCGGCUAACUCCGUGCCAGCAGCCGCGGUAAUACGGAGGAUCCGAGCGUUAUCCGGAUUUAUUGGGUUUAAAGGGUGCGUAGGUGGUUUGAUAAGUCAGCGGUGAAAGUUUGCAGCUUAACUGUAAAAAUGCCGUUGAAACUGUCGGACUUGAGUGUAAAUGAGGUAGGCGGAAUGCGUGGUGUAGCGGUGAAAUGCAUAGAUAUCACGCAGAACUCCGAUUGCGAAGGCAGCUUACUAAGCUACAACUGACACUGAAGCACGAAAGCGUGGGGAUCAAACAGGAUUAGAAACCCGAGUAGUCC
rnacentral:rRNA from 1 species